ACGAGUUUGAUCAUGGCUCAGAUUGAACGCUGGCGGCAUGCCUAACACAUGCAAGUCGAACGGGGCGCUUCGGCGCCUAGUGGCGGACGGGUGAGUAAAGCGUAGGAAUCUGCCUUGCAGUGGGGGACAACCUGGGGAAACUCAGGCUAAUACCGCAUACGCUCGCGAGAGGAAAGCGGGGGAUCUUCGGACCUCGCGCCGCAAGAAGAGCCUACGUCCGAUUAGCUAGUUGGUAGGGUAAAAGCCUACCAAGGCGACGAUCGGUAGCUGGUCUGAGAGGAUGAUCAGCCACACUGGGACUGAGACACGGCCCAGACUCCUACGGGAGGCAGCAGUGGGGAAUAUUGGACAAUGGGCGCAAGCCUGAUCCAGCAAUGCCGCGUGGGUGAAGAAGGCCUGCGGGUUGUAAAGCCCUUUAAGUGGGGAGGAACGGCGGGAUGCGAACAGUGUUCUGCUCUGACGUUACCCACAGAAUAAGCACCGGCUAACUCCGUG
rnacentral:rRNA from 1 species